rnacentral:rRNA from 1 species
UAGGGAAUCUUCGGCAAUGGGGGGAACCCUGACCGAGCAACGCCGCGUGAGUGAAGAAGGUUUUCGGAUCGUAAAGCUCUGUUGUUAAGGAAGAACGAGUGUGAGAAUGGAAAGUUCAUACUGUGACGGUACUUAACCAGAAAGGGACGGCUAACUACGUGCCAGCAGCCGCGGUAAUACGUAGGUCCCGAGCGUUGUCCGGAUUUAUUGGGCGUAAAGCGAGCGCAGGCGGUUAGAUAAGUCUGAAGUUAAAGGCAGUGGCUCAACCAUUGUAGGCUUUGGAAACUGUUUAACUUGAGUGCAGAAGGGGAGAGUGGAAUUCCAUGUGUAGCGGUGAAAUGCGUAGAUAUAUGGAGGAACACCAGUGGCGAAGGCGACUCUCUGGUCUGUAAAUGACGCUGAGGCUCGAAAGCGUGGGUAGCAAACAGG